rnacentral:rRNA from 1 species
AGCAGUCGCCACGGGAAUACGUAGGGUGCAAGCGUUAAUCGGAAUUACUGGGCGUAAAGCGUGCGCAGGCGGUUAUAUAAGACAGAUGUGAAAUCCCCGGGCUCAACCUGGGAACUGCAUUUGUGACUGUAUAGCUAGAGUACGGCAGAGGGGGAUGGAAUUCCGCGUGUAGCAGUGAAAUGCGUAGAUAUGCGGAGGAACACCGAUGGCGAAGGCAAUCCCCUGGGCCUGUACUGACGCUCAUGCACGAAAGCGUGGGGAGCAAACAGGAUUAGAUACCCCUGUAGUCCCUGUCUCUUAUAC